UGUUAAUAUUUGCCAUGUUCACAUUUUUCACAAAUUCUCUAAAUGGUCCCCAUAUCUCUUCAAACAUUGCCAGUUUCCCUUUCCUAAUACACGUAAUCUUUUCUAGAGGAAAAACUAUGAGCAUUUGUUUCACCAAGUAUGCAAAACUGGGCCUGUCUUUUUCC